UACGUAGGAUGCAAGCGUUGUCCGGAAUUAUUGGGCGUAAAGAGUUCGUGGGCGGUUGCCUAAGUCUGGUGUUAAAUACAGGAGCUCAACUCCUGCAUGGCACUGGAAACUGGGCAGCUAGAGUGUGGUAGAGGUCACGGGAAUUCCAGGUGUAGCGGUGAAAUGCGUAGAUAUCUGGAGGAACACCAGUGGCGAAAGCGCGUGACUGGGCCACAACUGACGCUGAGGAACGAAAGCCAGGGGAGCGAAAGGG
rnacentral:rRNA from 1 species